rnacentral:rRNA from 1 species
GGGAGCUUGCUCCUGGAUUCAGCGGCGGACGGGUGAGUAAUGCCUAGGAAUCUGCCUGGUAGUGGGGGAUAACGUCCGGAAACGGGCGCUAAUACCGCAUACGUCCUGAGGGAGAAAGUGGGGGAUCUUCGGACCUCACGCUAUCAGAUGAGCCUAGGUCGGAUUAGCUAGUUGGUGGGGUAAAGGCCUACCAAGGCGACGAUCCGUAACUGGUCUGAGAGGAUGAUCAGUCACACUGGAACUGAGACACGGUCCAGACUCCUACGGGAGGCAGCAGUGGGGAAUAUUGGACAAUGGGCGAAAGCCUGAUCCAGCCAUGCCGCGUGUGUGAAGAAGGUCUUCGGAUUGUAAAGCACUUUAAGUUGGGAGGAAGGGCAGUAAGUUAAUACCUUGCUGUUUUGACGUUACCAACACAAUAAGCACCGGCUAACUUC